UACCCGCAGCACAAGUGGUGGUCAUUAUUAUUGGGCCUAAAGCGUCCGUAGCUGGCUUGUUAGAUGCCUGGGUAAAUCGAUGCGCUCAACGUAUCGACUUCCGGGUAGACCGGCAAGCUCGAGACCGGGAGAGGUGUAGGCUACUCGAGGGGUAGGGGUAAAAUCCUGUAAUCCUUCGGGGAGGACCAGUGGCGAAGGCGCUACACUAGAACGGCUCUGACAGUGAGGGACGAAAGCCCUGGGGCGCAAACCGG
rnacentral:rRNA from 1 species